rnacentral:lncRNA from 1 species
ACUGUUGUUAUUACUGUUACUGUUGUUGUUGCUGCCAUUAUUAAAACCGCUAUUGUUAUUACCUUCAUAAAUUUUCAUCGAAUCAAAUCUUGAAAAUAUAUUAUAAAUGUCAUCAUUACCAUAAAACAUAUCAUUACAUAUAUUAUUAUAUGAGUAUUUAUUAUCAUUAUUUAUUAGUGCAUUAUUAUUAUUAUUAUUAUUAUUAUAAUUAUUAUUAUUAUUAUUAUUAUUAUUAUUAUUAUUAAUAAGUAUUUUUUCACUUUGUAUCCUAGCUCUUUUCAAACAAUCCAUAAUAGAUACACCAACAUGAUGUUUUAAACAAAAACGACAACUUAUAGGACAAUCAUUACCUCUAUGUGAGAUGUUAUGACAAUUAGGACAAACAAAAGAGUUAUUAGGACAUAAAGGCAUUGGAUGAUCUAAAGAAUCACAACUUAAACAUAACCUUCCUUGCAUAAACGCUUCUAACAUUUGAGAAUUGUUUAAUAUUACAGGUCGUUCUAUAAACAUAUUUUCAUUACUAUUUUUUUUUAAUAAAUUAUUAUUCUCUGUUUUUUCUUUUGUUUUGGUUUCGUUACCGUUUCUAGGUUGUGUGUUCGAGUUUAUAUCAUGUUGUUUAUUUAUGUUGCUGUUGUUAUUAUUGUUCGUAUUGUGUUUGUUUUGAUAUUUCGAAUUAUCACUCAUGUUGGUACUUCCACUAACCGUGGCAUUAGUACCGCUUCUAUUUCCAUUAUUUCCAUUAUUUUUAUUAUUUCCAUUAUUUUUACUAUUUCCAUUAUUUUUACUAUUUCCAUUAUUUCCACUAUUUCCAUUAUUUCCAUUAUUUUUUUCUUUGUUUAUGUUGUUACUCUUUUUAUCAUUUUUAUUAUUACAAUUGUUACUUUUGUUGACAAUG